CCUACGGGGGGCAGCAGUGAGGAAUAUUGGUCAAUGGACGAGAGUCUGAACCAGCCAAGUAGCGUGAAGGAUGACUGCCCUAUGGGUUGUAAACUUCUUUUAUAUGGGAAUAAAAUGUUCCACGUGUGGGUUUUUGUAUGUACCAUAUGAAUAAGGAUCGGCUAACUCCGUUCCAGCAGCCGCGGUAAUACGGAGGAUCCGAGCGUUAGCCGGAUUUAUUGGGUUUAAAUGGAGCGUAGGUGGCUUGUUAAGUCAGUUGUGAAAGUUUGCGGCUCAACCGUAGAAUUGCAGUUGAUACUGGCAGUCUUGAGUACAGUAGAGGUGGGCAGAAUUCGUGGUGUAGCGGUGAAAUGCUUAGAUAUCACGAAGAACUCCGAUUGCGAAGGCAGUUCACUGGACUGCAACUGACACUGAGGCUCGAAAGUGUGGGUAUCAAACAGGAUUAGAUACCAGAGUAGUC
rnacentral:rRNA from 1 species